GAAAACUGACGGGAUGUGGGAAGGCCUCCUGCAGAAGAAAGGCUCUGCCGUUACUCUCAGCUGUUAUUUGUGCUGGUGUUGGGGUCUUUGCUGUGGCUGUGCUUGGAAGUUCUUGGAUUCUGCUUCUAGAACUCAAAGCAAUCUGUGCUUUAAAAAUUGACCCAGUGGGGGCUGUAGGGUUUCAGGUCUGGCUGCUCCCAUCGUCUGUUCAUUAUUGCUUACUGCUGCAGAACCCUCAAAAACGGAAAACAGGCAACUCAGAUUAUACUUUAUCUUAAAAGAUUUUGCUGAUCUCUACCACGAAUUCAUCAGGACUAAUGAGACAGAUAAGUAAAGGAUUUUGUUAUUACAUGCCAACUCCAUAAAGAUACUCUGGGGUAAGCGGAGAGGUGGUACAAUCUUUGUGUGUGAGUGAUGGGAAAGAGCUACCUGGUUACAAAUUCUGGUCCCACUGAAGUCGGCAGGGGUUCUGCCAUUUGCCUUCAACAAAGCAAAGGGUUUCACCAUGUGUUUAACAGGAAUAUUUUGCUGGAGUUGUUGUCAGCAUACUAGUAAACAUACAUUUUAAAAUUGACCAUCUUUUUCGCAUUUGAAUGUUUGUUCACCUUGCAUAUCCUUGAUGAAUAUUUGAUACAAAAAAUUCUCUUCGAUUUCAUUUUAUUUCAGGUAGGUUUUGAGUUUGUUCAUUUUUUUACUUCUUGUGCAUUUAGAGACCCCACGUGGCAGUGUCUGGGCUAAAAACACAGUAGGGGAAUGUUCACAUAUUUUGUAUUGCUGAGAUUUAAACUGAAUUAAAGAAAAACAGAAAUGAAAACAUUUGCAUUUGUUUAUGUAAUUUUAAAAAAUCACAUAAAGCUGGGCCCAAGCUAGCCGAGAAUAUCCCUGUAAUGAACACAGGCCUUUACCUUUUUGCAAGCACACUGUAACUGGAGAGGCGCACAUAUCAUAUCUACCAUAUCAACGACAUUUUAGAGUAUGUAAAAAAAACCCACUCUAUUUGUCUUAGGAAAUAUCGAAAACUUUUAUAGGGAAUUUGGAAAAUAUUUUUUGGCCAGCAUGAAAGGUGAAAUCCUGCAGCACGAAGUACAGACAUGGGCACAGAGACUGAACAGACGGGCUGCUGUAAAACAACCAUUUAAUAAGGCAUUAAAAUGCCAUCGACUUGGACACAUAAAAAAAAAAGCUAUGAAAACAAAUGCCUUUCAAAUAAUUAGGAUCUUAUGCUUGAGACCAGUGUUGAUCUCUAUGCAGAGAUUUUCCUGCUGAAAUCAGACCAGCCUAAGUCUGAUCGUCUAAGGAAGGAAUUAGCAGCGUAUAAAUCGGCUGCUGCUCGAGAUUUUUCUGUUUCUGCCAUACAUAACUAUUCAUUUAAAUGGCCACUUCAGACUUUCUAUCUCCUUCUUUCUGUUUCCUAGAGUAGUUUGAAACACAUUUGACUUAGUACGCCAGAAUAAUUUUUUAAUUGAAUCUUGAAUUUUUAUCAUGAGUAUGUGAAAGGGUUGAAUUACCAGCUCCUGCCCACACUGUGUAAGUGAAUCUGAGCCAAAUGCAGCCAGAAAUAGCAACAGAACCCAGUUCUGUUCUCCAAAACAUAGUGUGACUUUGCUUUCACUUGAAGUAAUAUGCCUGUGUAAGGAAUAGCAAUAGUCGGUAGUGAUAGCUGGUGUGUAUAAUGCAUCAAAAUGAUAUAAAUCUAUCCUUCAAUUUGAGAAUAAUUUUAUCACCUAUAAUGUAUGCAAAUACAAGAACAAGAAGCAGAGUUGACCGUUCAUGUCUAUGUAUUUACUCCUGGAUCACUGCUGUCACGGUAGUCCUUGUCUGGAUACCUCAGAAAAGAUGCUCUGGUUACAAAGAGCGUGUUCAAAACAACAGCAUCUGUGAUAAUGUAGCUAACAUUAUAAAAAAAAAAAAAAAGUAAAAGCGAUGUUGUCCAAUAGAUGAGCAAAAAAUUCUCAACUUUAAGCUUGUAUUUAAUAGAUUUCACAAAAGAAAUGUCUAAUGAAUAUUACUUUUCACAUACAAUGAAGUUACUGUUUUGAUCUCCAUUAACAUCAAUAAUCUUGGAUAAAUGAAUGUGCAUUCCUUCUGUAUUUUGUCUUGUUUCCUGUUCUGUCGUUAGCCAACAGUUAACCCCUAAGGCACAUAUUUUUAAACUUCUAAUCUUUCUUUCAGAUCUGUAAUUUCAAGUACUCUUAGAUUUUGUAUUUUUAACAGAAUUUGACACAGAUGAGAACCCUGUGUGUAACUCUCAUAGCCAUGCAGAAUAGGAGAUCUUUCUCUUGAUAUUAUGAUUUCUUCUAUUAAUCAGUUUUAUAUGACUUUCUGCUAGCCUAGCUUUUAUAAAGGUGUGAAAACUUGCACUGCAGAGGUAUUUUAUAGAUUGCAAUCAUAAUUUCUGAAUAAGAUUCUAAAUAACUGGUCUGGUUAUAAAGCUUUGGGUGCAAUUUUUAGGUUCCUGGGAACUGCUGUUAAACCUCUGUUGCCAUUUGGCUAGAAGUACAUCCCAAUUAGUGACCCUUCUAUCUAGCAGUAGCUGUAUGUGAGUGAUUUUUUCUUUUUUUAAGUCAGUCGUAAAUGAUUAGUCCAAAAGAGUAGCAUAAAACUUCGAGCUAGUCCCCUGCAGGAGUCGGCUGGAGGAAAUUAAAGGAUCAACAACACAAGGGAAGCACUGAGGUAGGAUUGUUCCAGGCUGCAGCCACAGGCUUUCACAUGCACUCAGGAAAUUGACUUCAUCAAAAGCUGAGGAUGCAGGCGUGAGGAUGAGGAGGAUAACACAGGUGAUGAUUCUAAAUCAUGGCUCAAUAUCAUAGCGUUUUCCAAGGGAGAGGUUCCGUCCCUGCCCUGAAGAAAGCAGGUUUUCUAUAUAAAAAUAAUCUUCUCCUUGUGAAUUAAUAAAAGUUCAGCACAAAUCUGAGCUAUAAAUCUAAUAUAAUUUAAUAAAUAAUGAAGACUCAGUUUCCUCAAAACAAUAUCAGUUGGAUGUGGGUUUUUUGCACAAGAAAAGCAUGACUCCUUACAAGCUCUAGUGCUCUGUUCAGAGUGUUAUUGCCCUGUGCACGUUUGUGUGUUUGUGAGAGCUGUAAAACAAAGGACUCCAGAGUGCUUGGGACUUACAGGCAGGCAAGGCGUUUUCUUUAAUGCUUCUAAGUAAAUUCUUACUGCAGAAAUUUGGAUAUUCUGGGUCUGUGAUGAAGCUGAAACUUUUCUAGGAGUUGGAAAGAAUCGCAAGAGGGGAAAUGCAUAAAUCUACAUCUGGAGCCAAGUAUGCUGGGAAGGCGUAAAGAGAUGGGGGAGCAGGAGUGCCAGAACAGGGCUGAGAGCAUGAAAUUCUGCGGGGAAAAGUGGGAGAAAGAAAGAGGAAUGUCCCAGGAAUGAAGCUCUUAUAAUGUUCAAAUCUUUCCUCGGAAGUAAAACUGUGGAAGGCUAUAAUCCAAAUAAGGAAAUUAGAACAAAAAUUAACAAUAUUCAGCUAUUCAGAUGUCAAAAGAAACAGCAGAGUUAUUGGUGUUAGAGGUUAUUGCCAGGAGGGAAAAACUCAGCAUGCUUUGGGUAAUUAAGCUUCAUUGGAGAGCAUGGAUCCCUUCUCCAGGUAAGAAAUGCUUUUAUAACAUGGCAUCUUUUGCUAUUGUAAUUAAACACCACGGACUAUUCUGCAUAUGAAGUCUUAAACACUUUAGUCCUUUAUCAUGGGAUUUUACUGGCCAGGCAUGUGUGUUCUUAUGGCAAAAAGCAUUGACUGCUAUAAAAAAAGAAACCCAAACAUUUCUUUUUAUGACUUGACUUGCUGUAUUUUUAUAUAUAUUGAGCCAAAUCCAUCCCUUGUGGAGCUCAGUUGAAGCCAAUAAGGAUAGAUUUGGCCCAUGUCUAUAUGAGAAAGGUGGUGACAAUUAAAAUAUAUUGUUUAAUAAUGAGAGCUAUGGUAGUGAAGUGUCUUUGUGUCUAUGAAAUUAUACACCACGACACCACACUGCCAGUAGAGAGUGGGGCUAGCAAAACACAUAAGAGCAGUUUCUGAUGGAAAGGCAAAAGCACUCUAACUUUUAUUAUUAUGAUUAAGUAUCACAAAGGCAAGACUAAUUUAGGUAACAUCUCCAGAAGUCUCAUUUAUAGUGUAGUAUUUUGCCACAGUGCAUUUUAAAAUAUUUCUUGAAUGUAAUUAUAUGUGGCUAUCAAGGGUAGUAUGACUGGCUGCCAUUAGCAGUAAGUAAAAGAACGGUUCUUAUUUCAUUUAUAUUUUAGUGAUUUUCAGUAAUACUGCAAAAAGGAAUGCAACCUAUCAAAUGAAAUGUGCAGACAGCCAUUAUUAUCACUUUAUAUUGGUAGUUCCCAGUGGUUCCUCUGUGUGAGGCAUUGCACCAACACAUGAAAGCCAUUGCUGAUACCCUGAAGAUCUUCAGAUCUUGCCUAUUUAGGCGGUGAGAUAUACAAAGCUUAUUGCACAGGCAACCAGGUCGUCUGUACAAAACCAGAACAAAUGAGUUUUGUUUGGCUCCUUGACAUGGUGGGUUGCAUGAAGCAACUCUUCUCUUGUAUCCCUGUUGGUAAGUUAUAACAACAUUUAUAUGCCAAAGCCUUACUGAACUGUCUACCAACCUGUAUCCCUUUAGGGAAGAUAUUUGGGUAAUGGAUACUCACAGACAGUAACCACAGCCUUAAACCCAAGCUCUACAAGAGGGUUGCCAGAAAGCCAGGCUCAGCCAUGCUCCUCUGUAAAGAAACUGAGUGCUUAGAGAACACUGGCCAGUAGCAAUGGAGCCCAGGAGCAAUGGCCGAAGGCAAUCCAUUGCCCUGCUGAUGGGCUCCAGCUGAAAAGAUAUCUCUUAAAUGAGAAUAAUAACUUGGGAAGUCUCUGACCCUCAAAAACAGAGGAAAAGAAAAUGCGCAACAGAAAUUCUUUUUACUGUAAUUAUUACUCAUUCUGAAUCUGUAUUAUAGAAAUCUGGCCCUUGGCAUUGAAUUAAGAUAAUAUUUUAUUAGAAGAAAGCAUGAUUCAUCGAAUUGAUGCACUGCAGUAUCUGUGGAAAGGAAAACUGGGAAAGACACAAAAGAAGCUGGGCUAUGGAAAACCAUUGCCAAACAGAGAAUCUCAUUCUGCACUAAGAAACAACAAAAAAGAAGAAAAUAUUUCCAAAGAAACAUCUGAGCAUAGCAUUGGAGCCAAGUGAAGAAUUAUUACUACAUUAGGCUUUCAGAAUGGGGCAUGCAGUGUAUGUGGUAGGAGAAUACCCUGUCAUUUUGAAAUUAAAGAAAAGUGCAUGUGUUCCACAUCAAAACUCAGAUCCUCAGAAGGCUUGUAUGCGUGCUGCCAGUUGCUUUUGCUCUUUGUCAAGAAUAUUUUUAUUUUCUAGUUACCAUUUUCUCCCUUUCUCUCCUCUUUUUCAUUUUCAAGUUCACUGUUUCUUUGUGUUUAUUUCCUUGCUGUUGACUUCCUGCUUCCAUUCUUUUGCUCUCUGUAGUAUGAGUAUUGAUUUUCAGGCAAUCUAAUUAACUGCUUUGCAGAGGUGAGUAAAGAUUAUUUUCACGUUAUGCAUGACACAAAUGAUACAAAGCAAAAAUUAAAUAGUUUACUAAUGGCUGUAGGCUGAAUCAUUGCUGAGUAUAUUAGGAUGGGAAAUCUUGAACUUCACUGGAAUUCUGAGACAAUCAUUUAAAGCUGUUUUCGAAAUCUUUUGAGUUAAUUGUGCAGCUUGCAGAACCAGCUCUUUCUUGUGCACCAUCUUGGGAACAGGAAGCACAGCAUGUUCCACAUGUUCUUCCAUCGGUGCCAUCCUGUGGCCAACUCUGCUUCUCCCUACCUGUGUCACACUGGAGCAAAUGGUCAGAGGAUCCACAGAGGCACUCACUUGCCUCUCUCUAAAUGUGCAGUAUUUGUUGAAGGCUGAGAUUCGCCCUUUUGCUUUUCCAUGCACAUCCGUGCAGUCUGCUUGCAUUAACACCUCCCAGUCUUGAAGUGCUUAGGCAACAUUUAUACAAAGAGUUAAACCCCCCUCUCUCCUUGCAUGUUCCAUAUGAAGAAAUGUAGAAAUACUAAGGGUCAUCCAUUCAAAAGUCUGUGUGACAGGCAUGUGCUCACUUCUAGCACAAAGUGUAAAUUCAGUCUUUCUCUGUGACGCUGGACAGAAAUCCCACUGGAAGUUUUUCCUGCCUCUAACCUGUCUACUUUCUUUCAUAAUGAUAAAUGAUGGGAAUGCUUGAGGGAGGGGGGAAACUAUCUAAGCUUUGAACUGGUUGUGUCUGUAGAGGAAUGGGAAAGGAGAAUGUUGAUUCAUUUAAAACGGAACUUUUAUAUGGCUAAAAUCUUUGAUAUUUUUCCCAUUUUGAUAAUUUUUUUUUUGCAUUCUCGUAAGUAAGUUUAAGGCUAAAUCAUUACCCAAAGGUGUCUCAUCAGGUAAGACAAUGUGGCUACUUUUAUUUUUCACUUUAAAUUUAAUUGAUUACCUUUCCCACUUCCAUUUUGUUCUGCACAUAGUUGCUUGGUAGCAGUCACCUUUGCUUUCAGUCAAGGUAUCCAUUGCGUGCUGACUGUUUCCCAUUACCUCUGAAGCACAAAGCAAGUUCAUCACCUUUCCAGGAUGUCUUGUGAUUGAUUCCUCAUGUCUGGGGAAAUAUGCUCUAAAGUUUCAGGCUAAAAUGAGUGCUUGGAUUUAGUGUGAAUAAUCAGUGGUUUAAGACUUAUUCUUAUGGACUAUUCAUCUAUUUAUUAGAUACACAACUAAUAUUAAGUAUAAUAUAAUGUGUUAAAUUUAAAAUGUUAUUAUUCCCUCAGUAGCUGCUCAGAUGCACUGGGCAUGACUAAACCAUAAUUUGCAGAGUGUGUCUGCAUCAUCCAUCAAACGCAGCUACUCUCUGCCUCAGACCUAACCUGUGCACAGCAAAGCCAAGGCUAAAAGCCUUGAAAAGAAGAUCAGAGGCCUAGUCUUGCCAUGCUGAAAUCUAUAAAAGUUUUCCUACUGACUUCAACAGAAACAGGACUAAGCCUUAUGAUUCUGGCAGGAAAAUCUGAGAAUAUUCCUUUACAACUCUCUACUGAAUGCUGAACUCCAGAAUACAUUGUAGUCAGCUGUAUGUAAGACAAAGACUGUUAAGGAAAGAUAGUAGUUUUGCACAUACUGUUCUCCGCACAUGCUGUUCUUUAGUAAAUAUUUAUCAAAGGAUGCAUCCAUUCCUGCUGGCAGCGUCUGAGGCAUUGGACAAAUUUGGCCUGAUUUCCUGCUGUCAGUGCAAACCUCCCAGCUAGAAGCUGCAUUUAUCAAGUUUGUCUUUCAAAACUGUUAAAAUCGUUCUUGUCCAAGUAGAUAGUGCUGACAAAAAUGGUCAUUUGAUGAAAUACUCUUUAAAAAAAGACAUGUCCUCCAGCUUGUAAGUACAACCCCACUGAAAAUAUUCAUCAAAACUGUAACAAAGCACAGCUAAAAGCUGAAGAUUUGUAUUUGCUGAAAACUACGGAAAACAGCAACAAAAAGAAAACCAGAUGAAAGUUUGUUGGCACUUGCAGGAUACUUGUUCAGGCCUCUUACCCUCUAUUUGUCUGUGGAACUAGAGCCUUUUGACCUGUUCUAGCUAUUCCUCCCAUUUUCAUUUCAGUGUGUUUUACUUUUCUUUUGCUUGAACAAGUUUAUAAUUAACAUAAAUCAAAAUAAGCCUGAUUUUAAUUGCGCUAGCAUUAUCAGCACUUUGCACUAAUUUAUAUACCCUUUUAUUUCCUCUUUUAAGCUCUUUCUAGGUCAGACUCAGGCUUGGGGCUGUGCUUUAGUGUACACUGAGCGAAGGAUAUGGCGGCUGAACAGAAAGGGCUUAGAUCCUAAAGCCUCAGGGCUUACUACCACCAGAUGCCUGAGCUGAAAGCUCUCUUUUCGAGUGCAGUUUUUCUGGAAGAAAACCUGAGGAGCUGCAGCUGCGCCUUCUCUACCUAUGCCUGGUACUUACAGCACCUCGUGGCUAAGGGGACCCGUGGUCAACUCCUCAGCUCCUGAUGGACACGUAGCCUGCAGUCUAGCAUGGGCUGGGAGAGGUAAUGGACUGGUGGAGACUGUUCCACCCACAUGGGAAUAAUUAGCAUUGCAAGGACUGUGAGGCCGCAGGCCACUGCCCAGGUCGUGCAGAAUGGAAAGAAGAAAUGUGUCUAAACCCCAGGCUGGCUGCUAAUGGCAUACCUCUGGGAUACUGGGACUCUUGGGAGCAUUUCUCUAAACUUUGUGUUGUGAAGAACAGCUGGCAGUGGCAGCAGUCAGGGGGUGGCUGCUACCCAGCCCUCCUGGCACUGAGGAGAUGGCUUUGUGCAUGCCCCUUGGGGGGGUGCAUCUUCCUGGGGCUACAUGAAGAUCUGGAGGUCUAUGCUAUCUUUUAAUUAUUGAAGGCUUGUUACAUUAAAUCCACCUGACUGCUGAAGCUCAGUCCCAGAAACUGCCUGUCAGGGAUGCUUUCUGGCUGCCAUUACAGGGAGGGACUCACUGUCAGACAGGUGUCUGGCCUCACUAGGCCUCGUUUGACUGCAUUAUGCUUUGCAAGGCCUUGCUAGAUUUUGCUAGGUUUGCUAGGCCUUACUCAGCAUCACUAGGCUUUGCUAGGCCUCUCUAGGUCUCAGUAGGCCGCUCUAGGCUUUGCCAGGCCUCACUAGGCUUCCCUAGGCCUCGCUAGGCCUCACUAGGAUGCAUCACUGCGCAGACAAUUCUCAGCUAGGCCAUGAAGCCUGACCCAAGUUUAAUUUUAUACUUCACCUCUGUUUAAACACAACACAGGCUGCUCUGUGCCACCCAGUGCUGGUGCAAGGAAUGAGUGGAUCUGCCAUGAUGCUGCUGCCUGAAGGCCUUCCCUUAGGGGCUCUGUGAUGGGCACCACCUGGGCAGCAGUUUCACAUGUGACACUGUUUUUGUUUUCAAUUCAUGUUGGACAAGGCUUUUUGCUUCUGUUGUACCGCUCCCAACAUUUUCUGCUCUUUCAUUUUUAAUAUUGAACCUGUACUUUGUAGAAAGGAAAUCGGUCAAAACUUUAUUCUCCCCACUAGCAAAUCGUUGGCUCAUGACUUCUGUUACAUCCAACUAUCAAAGCAAUGAAAGCCCUCACAUCACAUUGAAUUUGGGCUGCCUCUUGUCACAGGCAAGUGUGUGGCACCUCCUUGGAGCAGAACCCUAAAUUAAAAUAUUGUAAAUUUUUUGCUGCUCCAGCAGUACUGCAGAAAUGUAAGUGGCCAAGAGGGGAGGAGAUUUUUUUCCUCCUGCUGGAAUUUUUCACUAUAACCAUCCUCAGGGGAGUUCUCAUCUUCAAAAGAAACAUUCUUUCUAUACAAGCUGCAAAAAGAAUUAUUUAAUGACAUCAUAAAUUAAUACAGAGAGGCACAAAUUUUCCAAAAUGUGGAGAGAGAGAAAAAAAAAAUUAUCGUUUGCCAAAAACACCCGAGCUCUUCCAGACUUAGGCCUCUCCUGAGCCUGGGAGCUGCCAAUGAUACCAAACUGAACGGUGGGGUUUCUGGCAUGACUUAAGUUUAGCUUGUUUAAAUUUUGGCAAAUAUUCGUAUUACUCACAUACUCAGCAAACUGAUACAAAUAUUUGUUCUAUUUAGAGUGAAGUCCAAACUCACUGCUGGCACCAGUGCUGCUGGACCCGGUGGAACUAAUCUUGCUCAUGCCAAUAUUAAAUUUGGACAUCUACCUUAAAGAAAAACAGCCUUUGAGGUACAGAUUAGAAUACAUCAAUGGAAAACAGAACUCGUGUGUAGCCAAGUUUUCCUCACUUGCUAAUUUUCACUUUGAUCUGAUUUGAACUGGACCAAGUUUUUCUGCACUUGGGCUGCUACUCGCUGUUAUGAUGCAGCCACUAGGUCAGAGCUGGAGCUAGAAAAGCCUUCAUGCACGUGAAGUUCUCUGCAUUCUUGAGAAGUAAAAUCUGUAGUAAAUUGAGCCUGGGCACAGCGAGCAUACUUGAUUGAUUUUAGUGCUGUACAGGUUGUUUUUUUAAUGAUGCCUGCAGUUUACUGUUUCUGGUUUGUAAAGCAAAUAGACAAACAACCAACCAGAUGAGAAAUGCAGACCUGCCUUGGGGCAUGGGUUCUUCAUCUGGUCGCACCUGUGCUUUGCCCAUGAGCUCUCUCUGGGUUCAGAUUCAAAAAACAGGUUAGGCAUUUUGCAAUGAGAAGAACAAGACAAAAACCACCACCCUUCCAUUCCUUAGUGUAGCCAAAGCAUGCCCCAGGGGUGUGCUGGCUGAGGAUCUGUGCUCAGUUCAGCUGUGCUUGUAAGCUGCUUGCUGUUUAAUGCUAUCUAAAUGUUUUUAUAAAGGUCAAGUAGGAGUGGGAUCCUCCUAGUCGUUUGGAAAUGAGAAAUCUAGUCUGACUGAGCGAGAUUCCUCUGUGAGUGGAAAAUAUCAGCACUGCAGAAUGAUUCAUCCUAUUUUAAUCAGCCUGAUCUCUCUCCAUUGACUAUAAACGGGGCCCGGAUGACCAGCAUAUAUGAUUAGCAUAUAUCCAAAUUUUAGAUGUGUUUGUGCUCACUGAGAUUUUUACAAUUGGCCCUGCAGUGGCCAUACCAGGUACUAUUUUCACAGCUCUCAGAACUUGUGGUAUGCCACAGGGCUCCACGCAGUGCCUGCACGGCUCCUCUGGCUCCCGGGGCAAUGAACCUUGGCUGUGAGCAUUGCAGAAAUGCUGGCAGCAUGGCCUGCUGCAUGCAUCCUCAGCCUCAGUCUUCAAACCUGGAUUGCUUAUAGGUUCAGGGCUGAUCUGUACUCCCUUAACAGAAACCUACUGGGCCGAUUCUUCUAGGAGCUGCUUUCAAAACUGCCUUAAAUAUAUAAAUAUUGUACUGAUCGACAUAAAGUUAAAAAAAAAAGUUUAAAAAGUAGCAGUGAUUACUCCUCGAAAAGGGCAUUAUUACUGUUGGCCAUAUUUGUGAAACAGGCAAAAUAUCCCAGAAAGGGUCAAGUGUGCAUCUGGAGAAAGUGUGGGAUUGGUAUAAUUGGACAGAAAGAGGGAGAAGAGAGAGCAGGCAUCUCCAGUAAUUCACCAUGGAACAGCUUUAUGCUGGUUAUUGAAAUGCAGCCAGAGACAGUUAAUAGUAGUAAAAUGACUUUAUGUUCUGAUAUGUAAAAUAAAAUGUCCAUGCUAUGUAACAAACAGUUGAAAAUUCCACACCACCUGUAUCUAACGUGGUUUCUAAUAAAAAUUUAUCUGUAGUAUAUAUGUUUUUUAUCUAACCAAUUCUUAGUUUUUACAUCGAAGGUGUGUAAUUAAAAAAAAAAAAAUCUUAAAUAGAUGUCUUUCCAAAAAAAAAAAAAAAACCUUGCAACAUUCAUUUUUAUUAAGUAUUUCAUUUGUAAAAAGCAAAGCUGAAUUGGACACGUGGCCUGCAUUUGUGAUAUAUAUAUAUAUAUUUAUAUAUAUAUAAUAUAUAUAUAUGUAUAUAAAUAGCUAUUCAGCAUGCAAAAAUUGUAGUGAUUUUGAAAAUCUGAUUACAAAAUGCACACCAGUCACACACUGUCUGCUGAAUGUGUGUACAGGUUGUCCAGGUGGGAGCGUGACCUCCAUGGCAGCGGCCUCAGGGCUGCCUCACUGCGAGCAACCGUCCUCAUUCAUCAGCCUCUAUUGGUUGGAAUGGAUUCAUCCAAAUGCAGAAGUGCCUCCCGAC
rnacentral:lncRNA from 1 species